UAAGAAAAUAACCUGUCGCUAUAGGCAACGCCAAUGCGUCCAUUUUUAAUUAUUUAUCUAUUUGUAAUUAGAAUUACUCUAAUUACACGGGAUCAUUAUGGUCGGAAAUACCCUGGCAAGCGCCUGUCAGAAUUUUCGGUUUCGUUUUCCGUCACCCCUUUUUUGCAUUUUUAUUCAAUUGUAGAACAUGACAAGUGGUGUUUGGAACAUUUUCAACGUUAAAUAUAAAAAACCUAUAGCAUAAGCCAGUGUUGGGACAGCUACCUGGCUUGAGCUUUGGAAACAGAAGAAAUUUGCUCGCUUAGGCUCUGAUGAUUUAUUCUCUUCCUUUUUUGCCACUUUUGAUUUCAUGGCCUCAUAUGACGCAUAGCUGUUUGGAUGCACCCUCUA